ACACCGCCCUCGGCAAACCUCGGCUGGCUCCGGCCUUUCUCCUCCUCUGAGGCCUGGAUCUUCUCUUCGCGACCAGUCUGCCCUUUCCUUCUUUUCCUCACUCGCGAGUCGGCCACCGCCGUUCCCGUUUAGGGAUAGUCUCGCUCGGGCGCCUGCUCGAGGCUGAUCUCAGGGGCUCCGGGCUGCGCAGGGAGGGAGCCGCCUUCCGGAAGAGGACGGUGGGGCGCGAGGGAAGCCAUCGCGGACUAAAUAAGGGAGGCUGCAGCGGCUGCGCGUGCGCCCAGAGGCGCAGCGGGAGGGGGUGCUCUCGGGCGAGCUCUCCGGCCGCGGCCCCCGCCCCUGCGCUGUCGGGCGGGGAGGUCGGAAACCCCCUGGCGAGACCACGGGCGGACGCUUCCCGAAGAGCUGCCUGGGCUGCAGCCGCGGAAGCUGCGUUCUGGGGAGCGGGGAGCGUGCUCCGGCGCCUUCGGGCCGCUGCUGGAAGCCGGAACCGAGCCCGGGCCGCUGCCCCUCACCGGACGCCGCGCGCCACCGGCCCUCCGCGGGGCAGGGGCUGCUGCGAGCUCGCCGGGCGCCCUUUAGACGUAAGUCUCACCCUGCGCCCCGAGGCAGGAAGGAGCGCGUGCAGUCCCGGCCAGAAACGGCUAAUAGGAAGGGCUGAGGGGUUCUGUGUUCAAGGCAGAAGGCCGUGCGUCAGGGCGGCCCUCAGCGGAGAUGCGUGCACGGAGCGGGGAGCGCCGCUCGGGGCAGGGAAUGAAAGCGGCGCUUGAGACUGGAAAUUUAGGGAGAUGAGUUCCUUGGGAACAACGCUGAACCAUCUCACUGCCCCACCCUACCCCUUGUUAUUUUUUUUUGAGACAGGUCUCGCGCUGUCGUCCAGUCUGAGUGCAGUGACGCGAUCACGGCUCACUGCAGCCUCGACCUCCGGGGCUUACGGGUCAUCCCACCUCAGCCCUCUAAGUAGCUGGCACCACGGGCAUGCACCACCACACCCGGCUAAUUUUUUAAAAAAAGUUUUUCCGGAGAUAGGGUCUCGCUGUGUUACCCAGGCUGGUCUCGAACCCCUGGCCUGAAGCGAUCCUCCCGCCUCGGCCUCCCAAAGUGCUGGGAUUACAGGCGUGAGCCACUGCGCUCGGCUUUUCACCCCUUUCUAACGUUUUCCAUCCCCAGCGGUGCCCUGCCCACCCUCUCUUUAUCUCUCACUUUUCCCUCCUCUGUUUCUUCCUCGCUGAAGUCCAUUGGUGAAAGAAAAUUCAUGUGAAAGUUCUCAGGUGUGUUAAGUGAAAUUGCUACAAAUUUGAUUUUAUGUACUGCUGCAGGUACAUUGAGAGAAGAAACGUGAAGUAUACCAAACAACCGUUAGUUGAGAGUGGUGGUAUUCGGGUGAUUGGUUGACUUUUUUUUUUUUUUUUGCACUAUUUGUAAGGCAACAUAGUUUAAUGAAAAGAAUUGUGGUAAACAUAAUUAGGUGAUUAACACAGAAGAGGCAAAUAGUAAACAAGUCAGAAGAAACAACCCCCUCCAAAAAAUAAAAAGUAACUGAUUUACUUGGUAUCCAAGAAGUUACGUUAUUGCUAGACCUAAUAGAAUGGAGAGAUGGAAUGAUGUAGGGAGAAAGGCUCUGAAAUCACAACUGGUUGGAAAAAAAAUUUUAAUUACAUAAUCUUAUUUGUCACAUCCAUCUGCCAGAUGUAGAGCUUAUUGCUGUUUGUGGAGAUGUGCAGACCAAUAAAAAGCCUAUUUAAUGCUCUCUUAAACUACCAGUAACUAAAAAAAAAAAUUGACAGUGACUGAAAUUAUGAAAACAAAAAAAUUCGGUAGCAUCUUAACAUGUAAUUUCUGACAUAUUUGUAGUGAAUCCAUUGAAGACAAACAUCAGAGGAGUACAACAAAUAACAUUUCAUAGAAACUUUGAAAACUGGCAGCAAAAUUACUACUAAUUUGUUUGAUAACUAGAUGUCUGCUGAAAUUGGUAUAAACCAUUUGCUCAAAAGUAGCCAGGCAUGGUGAUGCAUGCCUGUAUUCCUAGCUACUCCCAGAGGCUGAAGCUGAACAAUCACUUUAGUCCAGGAGUUCGAGACUGCAGUGAGUCAUGAUCACACCAGUGCACUCCAGCCUGGACGACAGAGGGAGACCCUGUCUCAAAAAGUAAAUAGGCCGGAUGCAGUGGGUCAUGCCUGUAAUCCCAGCACCUUGGGAGGCCAAGUCAGGUGGAUCAUUUUGAGGUCUGGAGUUUGAGACUAGCCUGGCCAACAUUUUGAAACCCCAUCUGUACUAAAAAUAUAAAAGUUAGCCAGGUGUGGUGGUGUGCGCCUGUAAUCCCAGUUAUUCGGGAGACUGAGGCAGGAGAAUCACUUGGGCCUGGGAGGCGGAGGUUGUGGUGAGCCAAGAUCUUGCCACUGCACUCCAGUCUGGGUGACAGUGAGACACUGUCUCUAAAUAAAACCACAUUAUCAAAAGUCUGAUCUGCUCUCCUUUACAGAAAUACUUUAUCUUUACUUCUCUCUCGAACCCACAGACUUCAUUCCCACACUUCUGGACCUGUUCAAGAUCAUCUGUAGCAUCCAUGUUUUCAAGUCUGAUUUUUAUUUCUCAGUCUUCAUCUCCACUUGUCAGCAGCAUUUGACACAGCUGAUAACUUUCUUCUCCUUAAAGUUCCUUAUCUUGCCUACCAGGAUUUCAUUUUCUUUCUUGCUUCUCUUCCUUCCCAAAUGGCUGUUCCUUAGACUCCUUACUGGUUUCUCCUUCUUUUCCAGCCUCUAAAUGCUGGAGUGGCGUGAGAUUCAAAUCUUACAACCCGCACUCCUCUGUUCUCUCUCCCUAGGCAAUCUCAUUCAGAUCUCUGGCUGGAUGAAACCCACAUUUGAAUUUCCAGUCCACACCUUUCCUCUGAACACAAGACUCACACUUAACUGCCUACUGUAUAGCACUGCUUGAGUUUCUAACAGGCAUCACAAACUUAAUGUAUUCAAAACGAAACUCUUAAUCUCCCCCCACCCCAAACAAGUCCUGCUGAGAUCUUCCCAAUCUCUUGAAAUGACAACUCCAUUCUUCUAGUGGAGGCUAAAAACUUUGGAGUCAUCUUUGAUUGUUUUAUAUCUCACAUUGACUCCAUCAACAAAUUUUGCCAGCAUUACCUUCAAAAUGUAUCCACAAUCUGAUCUCUGUAACCCACCUCCAGCAAGUUCACUCUGGUCCAAGCCACCAUCAUUAAACCUGGACCGUGGCAAAGGCUUUCUAACUGAUCUUGCCCUUCUAUGCCUGCUUCCACAUUGUUUGCUGUCUCAUACAGUGCAGUAAUCCCUUAAAAAGUCAGAUAAUAUUCCAAUCUUGAAUAAAAGCCAAAGUUAUAGCCAUGAUCCACUAGGCCAUAUGUAAACUGCCUGUUACUUCUGGCUUCUUAUCCACUGACUUCUUUAUUUGCUCUUUUUUUGUUUUUGUUUUUGUUUUUGUUUGAGACUGAUUCUCACUGUCGCCAGGCUGGAGUGCAGUGGGAUGAUCUUGGCUCACUGCAACCUCUGCCUCCCAGGUUCAAGCAAUGCUCCUGCCUCAGCCUCCUGAGUAGCUGGGACUACAGGCACGUGCCACCACACCCAGCUAAUUUUUGUAUUUUUAGUAGAGACGGGGUUUCACCAUGUUGGCCAGGAUGGUCUCCAUCUCUUGACCUCGUGAUCCACCCACCUCAGCCUCCCAAAGUGCUGGGAUUACAGGCGUGAGCCACCGCGCUCAGCCCUGCUUUCUCAUUCUUUUCCCACCAUUCUACCCUCCCUCCCUGUUUUCUCCAGUAUACCAAGCAUGCCUCUGCCUCAGGACCUUUGCACUGCUGUCCCUUUGCCUGGAAUCCUCUUCCCCCUUAGUACUUGCUUGGCUCACACCCUCACUUCUUCAGGUCUCUGCUUAAGUCUUGUCUUGUUUAAUUGAGAACUCUACAUGAUGGCGCCCUACCACCAUGUUGCUCCCUUAACCCUGAUCUAUUUUUCCUAAACCAUUUGCCAUAUAUUUUGUUUAUUGGUUGUUUCCCACUAGAAUGAAUGCUUCAUGUGGCAUACCAUAAAUAUUUGUUGAAUUAAAGGAUAUUUGCCUGCAGAAACGUAUACGAUAAAAAUAGCAAAAUUGAAUUCUCAAGAGGAAAAAGCUUGGGUUCUAUUUCUGUUUGCUUUGUGAAAGAAUAAAAGAAUUACAAAUCCAGUCCUGUUCUCACAAAUAAGAUGGAGGAUAAAGCUAGAUUAUUCCUAAUACAGGCAAAAUAUUGUAAUAGAUAUUAAAAAAUGUACAUGAAUUUGCAUGUAUAGCAAAUCUUAAAGCAGAUUAUUUACACUGCUAUCUAAUGAGAAAUAUCAAGUUUGCAAAUGAGUAAAAGACCCAUAUUUCAACCUGUAGACUGAAUACAUACCAACCAAUAGAGGGGAAAAACUAUCAACUCAUAGGUUAUAUAUAGGUUGACCAAGAUUUUAAUGUGAUUCUAUUGAAGGAAGAACUGAAGGAAGAACCAAAAAGUGAAAUCCUCAAGCCUCUAGUUGUGAAAGGGAUUUUUUUUUUUUUUUUGAGACAGAGUCUGACUCUAUAGCCAGGCUGGAGUGCAGUGGUGUGAUCUCAGCUCCCUGCAGCCUCCACCUCCCGGGUUCAAGCGAUUCUCCUGCCUCAGCCUCCCAAGUAGCUGGGACUAUGGGUGCGUGCCACCACACCCAGCUAAUCUUUGUGUUUUUAGUAGAUGGGGUUUCACCAUGUUGGCCAGGAUGGUCUCGAUCUCUUGACCUUGUGACCUGCCACCUCCGCCUCCCAAAGUGCUGGGAUUACAGGCGUGAACCACCACGCCUGGCCAAAAGGGACUUUAAAAAGCUUUGUUGCAAUUUCUAAAACAUCAUAAGGAUAUAUUUCCAAAAAUUUUCACAUACUUCAUUUCUAUCUCUUUUUUCUCUGUCCUUGCCUUCCUCACAAACUCAGCCUAGUAUAGUGAUUAAAAGCGUGGGUUUUAGAAUCAGUAUGACAUUGCGUAGAGCUCAGGCUACAUUAUUGACUACCAACAUCACCUUGGGCAAAUUACUAGUCUUGAGGAUUAUCCUGCUUUGUCUCUAAACUUCACUUAAUAGGGUAUAGUACUGUUUGUGAAAAGUAAUUGAAAUUGUGUAAAUAAUUUAGCAGUACCUGGCACAUACAUGUUUCGCUACUGGUGGUUAUUCAUUUUGAAAAAAUAGUAUUGAAGUUCUGCGUAUCAAGUCUUAGGAACAUAGUGUUAAGCAAAGUCACUUGGGUUUUGCUCUUAUGGAGUUUGUAUUUUAAGAAUAAUACAUAACUAAAAGGAGAUGCUUUGGGAUCUCAGAUUUGUGAUAUGAAGCUUUCAUUCAAUUAUGACGAAAAAUAAGAAACUGCAACAAAAAUUACUAUCUAGGAAAGGGGAGUAAACACCAGGACGUCACCAUAUCAACAUAUGGUACUAGGCAGGGAUGAUGUAAAUAAUGCAAUCAACAGAUCUUGGGAGAAUUACUUACUGACUCAAGAUUGGCCAUUUUUUAAAGUUCUUCCAAGUAAUAGAUACUAAAGUUCAGCUAAUAUUGAGAAGCAUACCCUAAACCCUUUACCUGUGUCUGGCGAAACUUCAACCUGAGUUAAUCCAACCAUUCAUUUUCUGAGCACCUCUGAGCAGUUGCAUGCUGCUGAAGAUUAUAAAAUAAUAGAAUAUACUGAUUCCACUUAAGCCUCAUCAUCACCAAAAUCAAAUGACAUAGUAAUUUAGAAAGUAAUAAGUGCUACAGAGAACAGUAGGUAAAGUGUUGGAUGGAGGAGUAAUGUUUUCAAGUAGAGUGGUUAUUGAGCACAUGGCGUUUGAGCAAAGAUUUGAAGGUGAUGAGGUAGCAAGCUAUACAGGUGUCUGGAAAGGAAUGUUUCUGGCAAAGGGGACAGCAAGAGCAAAGGUCCUGAGGAAAGACUGCCUAAUGUGUUCAGAAAUAAUAAGGAAAGCUCUGUGAUUGAAGGGCAGUGACUGAGAGGGAAAAUAUUAGGAAAUGAGGUGAGGUUAAAGAAGUGGGUGGAGGAACAGACUGUGAAGAAUCUUAUAGGCCAUUAUAAGAAGAUUGGCUUUUAUUCUGAGUUAAUUGGGAAGCCAUUGAAAAGUUAUGAGCAGAAAAUGACAUGGCUACUGUGUUGAAAAUAUCUGUAUUGCAAGGCAAGGAGCAGGGAAACCAGUUAGGAUCCUACAGCAUUGCCUAAGUGCUUCAGGUUACUGUUUCAAAGCGGAAAGUAAGCUUCUCAUCUAAGGCCAUUUUCUCUAUCUGUCCUUUCUUGCCACCCCCCCUUCAGUUCACCUUAUAUUAUCAAUUAUCCCUUCCUUUGUAUAUUCAAACUCUCUUUCAUCUGGAUUAUUUCCACUGAUCUUUAAACAUAAUAAAUCCUACCACCAGAAAACCCUUUCUUGACCGUAUACUCUUAACUGCUCACUUCAGCCAAACAUCUGCUAAGUCUUAUUUGUGGUACCUCACUUGUUUCAUUCUUUACUCUCGUAUUGACAUUUUAGGUCACUAUUGUUUGACAUCUGCCCCCGUAAUAUUAGCAAAAUAGAUUUCCCUGAGGCAGUAGUUCUUAAAGAGGCAGUGCUGAGUCUCCAGGGGGCAUUUGGAAAUGUGUGGCAGUAUUUUUUUUUUUUAUCACUGCUAUAUUUUCAGUAUGACUUAAGGGUGAAGGGUGCUACAGAUAUUUAGUUACCAGAAGUCAAAGAUGCUAAACAUGUAGCAAUGCGUAGGACAGUUCUUUAUAUUUAAGACUUGUCCUGCUCAAAAUACCAAUGUUGUCUCAUUUAGAAAUAGUGUUAAGGUCACAGGUCACAAACAACUUCUUUGCACCUAUGUUUAAUGAACAUUUUUUUCACUCUUUCUUAAUCUCAGAAUAUUUGACAUUGAUAGUGCCUCCCUUUGCGUUGCCCUUCUCUCUCGCCUUCUAUGGCACAACACAUUUUGUAUUUUCUUCUUCCUUCUCUGACUGCUCCUCUCAUUACUUUUCACAGAGUCGUCCUUGUCUACUCCACUACCAAAUGUUGAAGUUCUUCAAGAAUCAGUCCUUUGGAGGCAUUUAAGGAAAUCUGUUUCUCUUUUGGAUCACUAGCUGCAAAUUAAGCUAACAGAACAGGAGCUCAGCUGGUCACACACAGCAACGAAUACAGACUUUAUAAAGUUCAGAAAAGUUACCAAACAGUGGUAACCAUAACAAGUACCAACAAUGAACUAUGGGGAGGGAGGAGAAUCUGAUUUCCAGAGUUACCACAUUAUAAUACUAUUCAAAAUGUCACAUUUUUAGCAAAGAUUACAUGACAAGGAAAAACCAGAAAAGUAUGGCCCAUACACAGGUAAAAAAAGAAAUUAAUAGAAACUACCCCUGAAGAAGCACAGACUUCGGAUGUACAAAACAAAGACUUUUCAUCAACUCUUUUAGAUAUGCUAGAAGAGCUAAAGGAAACCAUGGACAGAGAACAAAAAAAUUAGGAAAGCAAUGUCUCAUCCAAUACAGAAUAUCAAUAAAGAGAUUGAAAUUGUAGAAAAGAACCAAAUAGAAAUUCUGGAGUUGAAAAGUAUUAUAACUAAAACUGAAAAUUCACUAGAGGUAUUCAGCAGCAGACUGGAGAAGUCAGAAGAAAGAAUCAACAGGCUUCAAGAUAGGUCAAUUAAGAUUAUACAGUCUGAGGAGCAGAAAGGAAAAAGAAUGAAGAAAAAUGAACAGAGCAUAAAAGACCUCUGGGACUCUAUCAAGCAUACCAGUAUAUGCAUGAGGGGAGUCCCAGAAGGAGAAGAAAGAGAGAAAGGGACAUAAUAUUUGAAGAAAUAAUGGUAGAAAAUGUCCCAGCUUUGAUGAAAUACAUGAAUCUAGAUAUUCAAGAGGCUCAAAGAACCCUAAAUAGGGUAAACUCAAAAAGACCCACACCGGAAUGCAAAAGUGAGCUGGGUGUGGUGGCACGUGCCUGUGGUCCCAGCUACUCGAGAGGCUAAGGCAGGAAAAUCGCUUGAACCCAGGAGGCAGAGAUUGCGGUGAGCCGGGAUUGCGCCAGUGCACUCCAGCUGGGCGACAGAGCGAGAUUCCAUCUCGAAAAAAAAAAAAAAAAAAAAAAAAAACUAUUGCUGCAGUCAUUCAGAUGGAAAUGGGGAAAGAAUAAUAUUAACUGAUUUCAAAAAGGACUUGAAGAUGUGAAUCAUCUAUUUUGCUGAAGAAAUCUUAACUCUUUGAAAUUACUUUUUGUUGCUGUUGUCAUACUCUUAGGUGCCAAACUGCGGUAAAUUUUUUAUCAGUGAAGUGGAAGCAUGUGUUUUGUUGUUUUGGGAAUUUUUAUCAAGUAUCUUCAGAGAAGAUUAUUUCCUGCUUUAUCUUCAAAAACUGGAAAGGAAGGGUCAAAGAAAAGACAGUAGCUGGCCGGUCAUGGUGGCUCAUGCCUGUAAUCCCAACACUUUGGGAGGCUGAGGUGGGCAGAUCACCUGAGGUUGGGAGUUCGAGGCCAGCCUGACCAACGUGGAGAAAUGCCAUCUCUACUAAAGAUGCAAGGAUUGGCCGGGCGUGGUGGUGCGUGCCUGUGAUCCCAGCUGCUCAGGAGGCUGAGGCAGGAGAAUCGCUUGGACCUGGGAGGUGGAGGUUGCGGUGAGCUGAGAUCACGCCAUUGCACUCCAGCCUGGGCAACAAGCGAAACUCUGUCUCAAAAAAAAAGAAAAGACAGUAGCUUAUGUUCAUGUCAAGCACCUCUCAUCACAGUCUAGUUCCAAGGAAAAAAUUCCCAGCGUUUUCUACAUUCGGUGCUGCGUCAUCUGAAAUCGGCACAUUCCAUGGAGGAAGGAGUCCUGCUUUGUUGCAUGUAUCCUAGGGUUUAAUGUUGGUAAAUGAGUCACUCUAGCAUUUGUAGAAGGCUCCCUGAGACUCCUGCAGCAGUCGACCAAGCCCAAGGACAUAAUUGAAUCUGGAGAGUCCUGGGGCCUUGUUUUGAAAAAGACUUGAAAUACACAUAGGAAGAAAGGCAUAAAAAUAAAUGUUCACUUGUCUCUGCUGUGAGUAUGUGUUCCAACUUUUCAGUGAUGGCUUUGAGAAUUCUCAAACUUGACUGGCUCUAAGUGUAUCUGGUGGCUUUUGUAUCGUAACCUGAAACUGGCUUAGUACUUUUUCCUAAAAGCUCAGGAUUUGAGAAUGAGGACCCCUUCGCCAGGAAAACAUGUAUACACUCAAAAUUUUGCUUGCAGUUCUAGGGUGUUUAGACCUUUCUCAGAUACCUGUGCAUCUUAUGGGUUUUGUUUUUCUCUUUGAGACAGUCUCACCCUGUUGCCCAGGCUGGAGUGCAGUGGCAUGGUCUCAGCUCAUUGCAGCCUCCGCCUCCUGGGUUCAGGUGGUUCUGCCUCAGCCCCUUGAUCGGCUGGGAUUGCAUGCAUGUGCCACCAUGCCCGGCUCAUUUUUGUAUUUUUAGUGGAGAUGGAGACAGAGUUUCACCAUGUUGGCCGGGCUGGUCUUGGGCUCCUGACCUCAGGUGAUCCGCAAGCCUGGGCCUCCCGGGGUGCUGGGAUUACACGCGUGGGCAACUGCGCCCAGCCCUUGUGUACCUUAUGUGAGGAAGUCCUGCUCAAUCAGGAUCGGUCACGCAGGCCCUGAUCUUGCUACUCUGGUUCCAUGUCCUAUGGAAGACCAAAGUUUACCAAGAUAGAUUUUUCCCUUCAUAGUGGCAGAUACUGUUAACCCCUGCACCAUCUAUAACUCAGAAAUCCCCACCAUUUCUUCCCCUGGGCUUCAGAAUAGAAUUGCCUGGUUUCUCUGAUGAUCAGCACACUUCCUUAAAACCCAAAUCAGCAAGGAAUGAACAAUUUUGUUUGGCAUGGAUGAAAUUAGCACUGUUUGGCUCGGUAGGCCCCAGACAGGCAGGCACCUUAAUUUUUUCCUUGCAUAUUCUAGUCUUCAGAAGCAUUGCCUUUUGUCCUACUGGUAGUGACAUAGAUCAAUAACAGGGCAUCUGGGGAUUUUAAUCCUGAAAACAGUGAGUCUGAUACUGCUUGUGUUUUUCAUCAGUGUCCACCCCGAGUGGGUCUUCCUGCUAUUCUCUUCACUUAGUUGCCCCUCACUUGCCAUCUGAGCAAUUGGCAAGGAUGUGCCAGGCCUAGGUUAAACUUGGAAACAUGCUUGACCAUUCUAUUCCCUGGUCCUUUAAGAUCAGUUUGGCUGCAAUUUUGGCUCCUUGGACCCUCAAGCAUAGCUGGUAAAUCAAGUUAGAGAUGUAACUGCCUUAAAACGUGCCAGCUUAGGCUGGGCGCGGUGGCUCACGCCUGUAGUCCCAGCACUUCGGGAGGCUGGGGCAGGCGGAUCACCUGAGGUCAGGAGUUCGGGACCGGCCUGACCAACGUGGAGAAAUUCUGUCCCUACUAAAAAUGCAAAAUUGGCCGGGUGUGGUGGUGCAUGCCUGUAAUCCCAGCUACUUGGGAGGCUGAGGCAAGAGAAUUGCUUGAACCCAGGGAGGCGGAGGUUGCAGUGAGCCGAGAUCACGCCAUUGCAUUCCAGCUUGGGCAACAAAAGCAAAACUCUGUCUCAAAAAAAAAAAAAAGUGCCAGCGUAUGAGGUAAUUAGAUUGGUUCUCUCCAGAGGUAACCUGCCAAGAAGAGAUGCUAUAGAUGUUACUCAUAUACUGUAAAACAUUGUGAAAUCAGAUUACUUUAAAAUGAUGUAUUACAAAGUUUUGCAAAAAAGCAGUUGUGACUGUGGAAGCCCAAGGCUUAUAUCCCAGCUCUGUCUUACACUAAAUAUGGGUAGAGUGUUUCCACUCUGUCCAUAAAAUGGGAGCUAAUAUUCUCCAACCUGUGUGCCUGACAUGAUGGUUAAAAGGAUUAAACAAAACAAUAGUUUGUAAUUUAUUCUGUCAGAGCACACUGCUGGUAAAUAAAAGGGAGUAAGUUGACUAAAACUAAAUUUAAAAAAAAAUCCUAAUAAAACAAGUUUGUAAUUUAUAAUUGUAUACAAAUAAAAGAUGUUACAAAAAAAAAAAAGACCCACACCAAGACACAUCAUAAUUAAACCGUCAAAAGUCAAUGACAAUCCUGCAAGCAGCAAGAGAGAAGCAAUUCCUCACGUACAAAGGAUUCUCAAUAAGAUUAAUAGCUGACUUCUCAUUAGAAACCACAGAGGCCAGGAGGCAGAGGCAGUGGGAUGAUAUAUUCGAAGUGCUGAAAGAAAAAACUGUCAAGAAUUCUGUGUCCAGCAAAACUAUCCUUCAAAAAAAAAAAAAAAAAGUGAAGGAGAAAUUAAGACAUUCACAGAUAAGCAAAAACAGAAAGAGUAUCUCACUAGUAGUCCUGCCUUACAAGAAAUACUAAAAGGAUCCUUCAGCCUGAAAUGAAAAGACACUAGACAGUGAUUCAGAUCCACAUGAGGAAAUAAAAAACACUGAAAAAGAUUUAAAUACAUAGGUAGAUAUAAAUGAAAGCAAUAAUUAUAUCUGUGUCAAAGCACAAUGUAUAAAGGUGAUUCAUGAUGAGGAAAAGAUGAAGUAUAGGAGCAAAAAUUUUGUGUACUAUUGAAACUAAGUUGGUAUUUAUUUGAAAUAGAUUGUUAUAAAUGAAAGUUAAUUGUAAUCCCUAGAGCAACUACUAAGAAAAUAACUAAAAAUUUUGGAAAGGGAAUAAAAAUGGUAUGCUAGAAAAUAUCUAAUACAAAAAAGGCAUAAGGGAGGAAUUGAGGAAGACAUAGGGAAAACAAAUAGCAAGGGGCAAUGUCCUUCCUACUAAUUACAUUAAAUGUGAAUGCCUUAAAUUCCAUUUAACAGAUGGAGAGAUUGGCAGAAUGGAGUCUUUUAAAUGUUCUAACUAUAUCCUGUUUACAGAAGACUGACUUUAGAACCAAAGACACAAACAUGUUGAAAGUGAAAGGGUGUCACCUUAGUUUUCUUUCUUUUUUUUUUUUUUUGAGAUGGAGUUUCACUCUUUUUGCCCAGGCUGGAAUGCAAUGGCGUGCUUGGCUCACCACAACCUCCGCCUCCUGGGUCCAAGCAAUUCUCCUGCCUCAGCCUCCUGAGUAGCUGGGAUUACAGGCAUGCGCCACCACGCCCAGCUAAUUUUGUAUUUUUUAGUAGAGAUGGGGUUUCUCCAUGUUGGCCAGGCUGGUCUUGAACUCCCAACCUCAGGUGAUCUGCCCGCCUCGGCCUCCCAAAGUGCUGGGGUUACAGGCUGAGCCACCGCGCCCGGCCAGCACCUUAGUUUUCUUGUGCUGCCGUAACAGAAUACCUGAGACUGGGUAAUUUAUAUAGAGCAGAAAUUUAUUUUCUCACAGUUUUGGAAUCUGAGAAACUCAAAAUUACGACAUUGGCAGGUUUGGUUGUCUGGUAAGAGCUGCUUUCUGCUUCCAAGAUGACACCUUAUUGCUGCAUCUUCUAUAGGGGAGGAAUGUUACAUCCUCAACGUGGCAGAAGGUAAAAGGGCAAAAAGGAAUGAAAUUCCUCAUCAGGCCCUAAGUUAAGGGCACCUAAUCUCAUUCAUGAGGGGAGGAGCCCUCAAGACUUAACCACCUCUUACUGGCUGGGCGCAGUGGCUCACGCCUGUAAUCCCAGCACUUUGGAAGGCCGAGGCGGGUGGAUCACAAGGUCAGGAGAUAGAGACCAUCCUGGUCCUAGUAGAGACACGGUGAAACGCGGUCUUUACUAAAAAUACAAAAACAAGAUUAGCCGGCCGUGCUGGCGGGCGCCUGUAGUCCCAGCUACUUGGGAGGCUGAGAUGGGAGAAUGGCGUGAACCUGGGAGGCGGAGCUUGCAGUAAGCCGAGAUUGCGCCACUGCACUCCAGCCUGGGCGACAGAGCAAGACUCCGCCUCAAAAAAAAAAAAAAAAAAAAGACUUAACCACCUCUUAAAAGUCCCACCUCUUAAUACCAUCAUGUUGGCCAUUAAGUUUAAAUAUCUGAAUUUUGGAGGGCACACAUUCAAACCAUAGCAAGUGGAAAAAGACAUUCCAAGAUAUCUCAGGUUCACAUGGAACAUUCUUCAGAAUAAAACAUGUUAGUCCACAAGUCUCAGUUUUAAAAGAUUGAAUUACAAAGUGCCUUCUCUGACUACAAUGGAAUAAAACUGAAAAUAACACACCCUUAAACAACCAAUGGAUCAAAGAAAGAUUAAAUCACAAGAGAAAUCAGAAAAUACUUUGAGAUGAAUAAAAACAAAAAUGCAGCACCCUAAAACGUUUGGAAUGCAGCAAAAGCAGUGCUCAAAGGCAAUUUUAUAGCUGCACAUGCCUACAUUAAAAAAUACCUAGAAUCAGCAACCUAACCUUCCACCUUCAGGAACUAGAAAAAGAAGAGGAAAUCAAACCCAAAGCUAGCAGAAGGAAGGAAAUAGUAAAGACUGGAGUAGAGAUAAAUGAAAUAUACAGUAGAAAAUAGAAUCCACAAAACCAAAAUUUGGUUGUUUGAAAUAAUAAUGUUCACAAACCCUUAAAAAGACUGAGCAAGACAAAAAGAUUCAGGUUACUAAAAUCAGGAAUAAAGUGGGGACAUUACUGCCAAUCUUACAGAAAUAAAAAGGAUUGUAAGGAAAUACUAUUAACAAUUAUAUGCUAACAAAUUAGAUAACCUAGAUAAAAUGGACAAAUUCCUAGCAGCACACAAACUACCAAAACUAACUCAAGAAAAAACUAAACCUAUAACAGUACUAGUUAAAAAAAAAAAAAGUAAACCAGUUAAAAACAAAAAACUUCCAAGAUAGGAAAGAUCAAACCAUGUGGCUUUACUGGUGACGUAAAGUAUUUUAAGAGUGCCAGUCCUUCUCAAACACUUAAAGUAGGGGAAGAGGGAAUAUCUUAACUCAUUAUAUGAUGCCGGCGUUACCCUGGUACCAAAUCCAGACAAAGACAUCACAAGAAAAUAAAACUACAGUCCAAUAGUUCUAAUGAAUAUAGAUGCAAAGAUCCUCAGCCAAAGUGAAUCCUGAAGCACAUUACAAGGAUAUCCACAAACAAAACUGUUAGAGCUAAUACCUCAAUAUCACAGGAUGCCCAGGAUCAACAUACAAAAAUUAGUUAUAUUUCUGUAUCCUUGCAAUGAACAUUUCAAAGUGAAAUGAAGAAAACUCAUUUACAGUAGUAUCAAAAAGAAUAAAAUACUAAUAAACAAGAUGUAAGACUUACACACUGAGAACUACAAAACAUAGUUGAGAGAAAUUUAAAAAGACCUAAAUAAAUAGGCAUUUUAUGUUCACGUAUUAGAAGACUUUGAAAAUGGCAAUACUCCCCCAAUUAACCAACAGAAUCAGUGAAAUUCCUAUGAAAAUUCCAACUGCCAUUAAUGUAGAAAUGGGCAGGUUGAUCCUAAAAUUCAUAAGAAAUUGCAAGGAUGUGGCCAGGCGCGGUGGUUCAACGUCUGUAAUUCCAGCACUUUGGGAGGCUGAGGCGGGCGGAUCACGAGGUCAGGAGAUAGAUACCAUUCUGGGUAACACGGUUAAACCCCGUCUCUACUAAAAAUAAAAAAAAAAAAAGUGUAGCCGGGCAGGUGGUGGGCGCCUGUAGUCCCAGCUACUGGGGAGGCUGAGGCAGAAGAAUGGCAUGAACCCAGGAGGCAGAGUUUGCAAUGAGCCGAGAUCGCGCCACUGCACUCCAGACUGGGUGAGAGAGCUAGACUCCAUCUCGAAAGAAAAAAGAAAAUGAAAAAAAGAAAUUGCAAGGAUGCCAAAACAGUCUUGGAAAAGAACAAAGUUAGAAGACCCACAUUUUGUGAUUUCAAAAUUUACCACGAAGCUACAGUAAUCAAAAGAGUGUGGUACUGACAUAAGGAUAGAUAUGUAGGCCAAGAAAACAGAAUUGAGAGCCCAGAAGUAAGCCUAUACAUCUGUGGUCAAUUGAUUUUUGACAAAGGUGUCAAGAUAGAUCACUGGGGAAUAGAAUAGUAUUUUUAAGAAAUGCUGAGGAUACUGGGUAUCCACAUGUAAUAGAAUGGAUUUGGACCCUUACCUUACACCACAUGCAAACAUUAAGUCAAAAUAAAUCAAAUACCUAAAUAUAAGAAUGAAACUAUACAACUAUUAAAAGAAAAUAUUGGGGUAAGUCUACAUGACCUGGGAUUUCCCAGUGGAUUCUUAGAUAUGAUACCAAGAACUCAAGUAGCAACAUGAAAAAUAGAUACAACUGGGCUUGAUCAAAAUUUAAAACUUUACAUAUCAAAUGACACUAUCAAGAAAGAGAAAAGAGAACCCACUGAGUGAGAGAAAAUAUUUGCAAGUCGUAUACCUGGUAAAGCUCAAAUAACUCUUACAAGUCAUCAGUUAAAAGACGACCCAAGUUAAAAAUGGGCAAAGGACUUGAAUAGACAUUUCUCCAAGGGAGAUAUUCUAAUGGCCAAGUACAUGAAGAGAUGCUUUGCAUCAUAACCUUCCACCUUAAGGGAAAUGCAAAUCAAAACCACGAUGAGAUACCACUUUCUAUACUCACUAGGGUGCUAUUAUUAAAAGACAAGUGUUGGCAAGGAUGUGGAGAAAUUGGAAAGCUCAUAAAUUGCUGGCGGAAAUAUAAAAUGGUGCGUUCAUUAUAAAAUAGUUUGAUGGUUUAUCAAAAUUUUAAACGGAAUUAACAUAUAACCCAGCAGCUCUCCUAAAUAUAUACUCAAGAGGAUAGAAAACUAAUCAAACAAAAACUUCUGCAUGAGUGUGUAUAGCAGCACUAUAAUAGCCAAUAAGUAGAAACAACCCAAAUGUUCAUCAAUAGAUGAAUGGACAAAUUGUGGUAUAUUCAUAUAAUGAAAAACUACUCAGCCAUAAAAAGAAAUUAGGUACUAGUAUAUGUUGCAACAUGGAUCAACCUUGAAAGACCUUGCUAACUGAAAGAAAAGGCCACAUCUUACAUGAUUGUAUUUAUGUGAAACAUCUAGAAGAGGCACAUCCAUAGAGACAGAAAACAUUGGUGGAUGCUAGGGGUUAGGGAAAUGUAGAAGUGGGGAGUUGCUGCUUAAUGGGUUUCUUUUUUGAGUGAUGAAAAUAUUCAGAUUUAGGUAGUGGUGAUACUUGCAAACAUUGUGAAUGUACUGGAAGGCACUGAAUUGUACAGUAAAAUGGUUAAAAUGGUGAGUUUUAUGUCAUGUGAAUUUUACCCCAAUAAUACCUCAAUAAUAAUUUUUUAAAAGUAGCCCCUCUCUUAGUCCAUUUUGUGCUGCUCUAACAGAAUACCCGAAACUUUAUAAAGAACAAACGUUGGCCGGGCACUGUGGCUCACGUCUGUAAUCCCAGCACUUUGGGAGGCCGAGGUGGGCAGAUCACGAGGUCAGGAAUUAAGACCAGCCUAGCCAACAUGGUGAAACCCCGUCUCUACUAAAAAUAACAAAAACUAGCUGGGCGUGGUAGCACAUGCCUGUAAUCCCAGCUACUUGGGAGGCUGAGGCAGGAGAAUUGCUUAAACCCGGGAGGUGGGGGUUGCAGUGAGCUGCGAUCACGCCAUUGCACUCCAGCCUGGGCAACAGAGCAAGAGAUUCUUGUCUAAAAAAAAAAAAAAGGAACUAUAUUGGCCCACAUUUCUGGCAGUUGAGAAGUCCUAGAUGAAGGGGCCACAUCUAGUGAGGGCCUUCUUACUGCAUCGUAACGGUGGAAGGCAUCACAUGAUGAGAGAGAGAGCAAGAAAAGGUGCUUUUGUUACAAGCCCAUUCCAUUAUAAUGAACCCACUCCCAUGAUAACAAGCUAUUCAUGAGGACAGAGCCAUCAUGACCUAUUCUCUAAUUAGGCCCUACCUCCCGACACUGUUGCAUUGAAGAUUAAUUUUCCAACACAAGAACUUUGGGGGACACAAUCCAUAGCAGUCCCUCUCUUCACUAAUUUCUUUCCAUGAAUUCUUCCACUCCCCUGACUUUUGUGUGUAGUUACCAUCUAUACACAGAUGCUUCACUAGAGGCAGUUUGUAUCUCCAACCCACAUCUUUUUUUUGAGUUCCAGAUGUGAAUAUCCUGCUGUUUACUUACCUACCACCUCCACACAUAGCUUCAAAUGCAACUUUGAAAUAUAAAACUGAGUUCAUUACCUUUUCUCCUAAAUUUGAUUAUCUGUGAAUGCUUUCUGUCUCACUAAAGAUAGCUUCCAGUCAUUGAGAGUUUGCUGUAUGUUUGGACUAAAGUGUUAAUCCAUUAAUUUACUUAAUCCUCACAAGAACCUCAGAUAAUACUAUUUUCCAUUUGCAGUGAGAAAGUUGAAAGGUAAAAUAACUUAUUGAAAUCACACACCUUUUAAGGAAAGGCUAGCCCUCAACAAAGGCAGCCUGACUUUUCAGAGCCUAUGUUCUUAAUGCCAUUGCUAUACCAUCCUCUAACUUUUUCUAGAGACCUAGAAGUCAUCUUUGUCACUUCUCUCCUUUACAUGCUUUAUCAAGUUGAUCAUGAGGUCCUAUUGAUUUGACUUCCUAAAUAACUCUCACUCCAUCCAGUUCAUUUCAUCUGCUACCACCAGCCUUAUUCAAGCAACCAUCUUUUGUCUAUACAAUGGCCUCUUAACUAACCUCCCAUAUUCACUGACAACAACCUAAUAAAAAUAUUUAUAAAUAUAAAUUUGUAUCUUACAGGUAGGGAAUUUAUAUUCUUCUCUUAUUAUGCCCAAGGAAUAUUUCCAAAUAUUAAUCAUAAGAUUGAUCACCUAGAAAACCUUAGUGAAUCAUGAAAAGUAGAAAUCUUAAGAGCUGCUUUUCAGAUGAUAGUGCAAUAAAACCUAAAGUCAACAAAGGUUGUUUUUGUUUCUUGAUGAUUUUAACUGUUGGUUUACUAUCAGUCUCUCCAACACUCCUGCCUUAAUUCUUGGUGAUUUUAAUAUGCACAUCAAUGAUCUUUCCAAUAUCUUGACCUCCAGCUUCUUGGACACCUCUUUUCAUUCCACUUCAGCCACUCCUUUGGUCAUUCCCUAGUUAGAUCUGCUUAUUACCAUUAACUGCAAACUCAAUUAUCUCAACUUCAUGCAUCCACCUUUCUGGCUGCCACAUCCUGUCUUUCCAGCUUUCCCCUCUAGAUCCCUAGCUCCUCAUAAUUAUUUAUCUUUGUUGGUAAUUCUAAUCUAUUGAUUCUAUCACUGUUUCACUGCCCCUCACCCUUAUUUUCCUCCUCACUUGGCUUAAAUUCCAUAGCCAGUCAUUGAUUGGAUAUUCCUUUUACCCACUGACAAAACCGUAACCCUAAUCAUUACUUAUCUACUCCAUUCUUGCUCCCAUGUAGCUGAACAUGACUGGAAGAAAAAUGCAAGAGUUUCACUUUAAAUUCUUGAAGACAAACCUCAUGUGACCUCAAAAUGCUGCCAGUCAAUCAAAUUAUAUUUUCUCCAAGUUUAUUCACUUGUAGUCAGCUUGGGCUGCUACAAUAAAAUAUCAUAAAGUAGGUAGCUUGUAAACAACAGAUUGUCUUCCUUCUGGUUCUGGAGGCUGGGAAAUUCAUGAUCAAGGCACCAGCAGAUUUAGUGUCUGUUGAAGUCCAGCUUUGUGGUUCAUGGAUGGUGACUUCUCACUGUGAGAAGAUAUGGUGGAAGGAAAGAGGGGUCCUUUCUUGAGCCUCUUUUAUAAGGACACUAAUCUCAAUCAUGAGGACCACCCCCCAUAACCUAAUCACCCUCCAAACGUGAUUAGGCCUUCCAAUACCAUCACCUUGUGGGUUAGGAUUUCAACAUACGAAUUUUGAAGGGACACAAACAUUCAGAGCAUAGCACCCCCUUUUCCUGAAAUGAUUUUAUGUAAUGAUUUUAUGUAAUUGUCUCUUCUCGAAUAUCCAACACUCUAUUCCCAGUCUUACCCUCGAUGAUAACUCUUGUUCCUAUUUCCUGGAGAAAAUCAGAGCAAUCAGAAGAGAUCCCCUGCCACUAAAUCUAUCCUUCUAGCAGCUUGUGAACUCAUAUAAUUUUCUUUCCAGCCUGUUACCAUACAUAUAUGCAUGAUGUCCAUGCUCUCAUCUAAAAUCAGCCUCUGCUUGUGUACUAGAUCAGGGUUGACAAAAUGCAGCCUGUGGCCCAAAUCCUGCAUUUUGUUUUGUUUUUGUACAGCCCGUAAGCCAAGAAUAGUUUUUACUUUUUUUUUUUUUUUUUUUUUUUUGAGACAGUCUUACUCUGUUACCCAGGCUGGAGUGCAGUGGCACAAUCUUGGCUCACUGCAACCUCCACCUCCCGGGUUCAAGCGAUUCUUCUGCCUCAGCCUCCCAAGUAGCUGGGACUAGAGGCACCCGCCACCAGGCCUGGCUAAUCUUUGUAUUUUUUAGUAGAGAUGGGGUUUCACUAUGUUGGCCAGGCUAGUCUUGAACUCCUGACCUUGUGAUCCACCCACCUCAGGCUCCCAAAGUGCUGGGAUUGCAGGCAUGAGCCACUGCGCCCGGCUAGUUUUUUACAAUUUUAAGUGUUGGGGAGAAAAAAGUAUAUACAGCAGAGACCAUGUGUGAUCCACAAAGCCUAAAAUAUUUACUGGCUCUUUCCAAAAAAAUUUUACUGAUUCCUGUACUAGAUCACAUUCUCUCACACCUACUUGAUAGUAACACAGCAAUUCUUCCUUCUCUCUUCUACAUUAACCAGUGUUUGCCCUCAUUCAAGAUUACUUCCACUAGCAUUCAAGCAUUCUGUUAUUUCUCCCAUCUUUAAACAAACCGAAAAAAUCUCGAUACUACUUUUCUUGCCAGUUACUGUCCUGUUUCUUUGCUCCCCUUCGCAACACAGCACCUUGAUUUUUAUUUUUAUUUUAUUUUAUUUUGAAACAGGACCUUCUAGCAUGCUGUAUAAUUUAUGUAUUAUGUUUAUUGUCUAGCUCCUGCCCCCUAAUGGAGGCUUCAUAAGGAUAAAAAUCAGAAUCUCUUUCGCUCUGUGAUAUAUUCCAAGCACAUGGCUCAUAGUUGAUACUUCAUAGAUAUUUGUAGAAUAAAUAAAAAUGAAUUUAAAAACUUCCCAAUUCUUUAAAAACACUACAAAAUAAUUACUGGAUUAUAGCAGAAGUCAAAUUUGAGAUUACAAGUUGUAUACAAAUUGGAAAACUGGAACACUUCAUAUGAAUAUGUAUGGGAAGUGAAUCAAACCUAAGCCCAGAGAAGAAUUCAUAGCUUUAAAGGAAUAUAAUGCCAAACAAAAUAAUUCUUACUGUGAUCAGAGCUCUUACUAAUAAUGUUCUCUCUAUCAUCACUUCCUGCAUCAAUCUCCUAGCAAAGCUACUGGGCUUUCUCUCCCAAAGUUAUUACAUUAGAAGACGGUUCUCAAUAUGUAGUUGCUGGGCUAACACCAUCAACUUCACCUGAGAACUUGUUAGAAAUGCAAAUUGUUUUAAUAAGCCCACCAACUGAUUUCAAUACACACGAUUGUUUGAGAAUAUUGCAUUAGACUCAGGAAGCUUAUUUCUUAGUGCCUUUUUCUUUUCUCACAUAAAAGAAUAGAGUCUGCUGUUGAUUCAAACACUGUCUUGCUUAGGGAGGCAAAUUUAAUGGAUCAGACAGGGUUAAUAGAUAAUCGUUUCUCCCGUGUUAGCCAAUAUACAGUUAUCUUUAGGGCCAGGCACGGUGGCUCACGCCUGUAAUCCCAGUACUUUGGGGGGGCCGAGGCAGGCGGAUCAGGAGUUCAAGAACAGCCUGGCCAACAUGGUGAGACCCCAUCUCUACUAAAAAUACAAAAAUUAGCUAGGCGUGGUGGUGUGUGCCUGCAGUCCCACCUACUUGGGAGGCUGAGGCAGGAGAAUCGCUUGAACCCAGGAGGCGGAGGUUGCAGUGAGCUGAGAUUGUACAACUGCACUCUAGCCUGGGCGAUAGAGUGAGACUACUUCUCAAAAAAAAAAAAAAAUGCAUUCUGGAUGCAUUUUGUUCACCAUGUAUACCUUGAGUAUCAUUACCUUAACUUCUAUUUUUAAGAUGAACCAAAACAAAAAUAUUGUGUUGAAGUCAUAAUCAUAGGCUUGUAUCAGCCUUACAGUUUUUAUCCUGAGGUUCAUAAUCACAAACAAAUUUUUGUAGAAAAUCCUGUUUAAUAUCCACGAAUAUGUUUUAAAAGAAAUAUCAAGACAUAUUCAGAACAUCUUAAGAAUUUACAGAAGGGUGCUCUUGGGCAACCUACUUUCUCAGCAUGAGGAAGCUUUCUCUCUCUUCUUUUUUGUCUAUUAAACUUUCCACUCCUAAACUAAAAAAAAAAAAAAAAGAAUUUACAGAAGAGCGUAAAAUAAUUUGACUGAGUCAAAAAACCAUUUAAUUUCCUGGUUAGAAUAACUUAAUAGUGUAAAGAUAACUUCUUUACACUAUUAAUAUAUACAUGUAAUGCAAUAAUUUCAAUCGUAAUCACAACUUUGGAGAAAUGAGGGUAGUAUUUGGUAAGUUGAUUCUAAAAUUUAUCCUGAGAAAUUAAUUCAUGGAAAAAUUUAAAAUCAUGAGGAAGAAGAAGAAUGUGGGAAUACCAUACAUUAAAAUGUACUGUAAGUCUAGAGUCAUUUUAAAUGUAUGUUAUAGCUACUGGAAGAGACAAAUACUACAUGAAUCAAAAUACUUCAAAAAUACCUCCAUAUGGCCAUGAGAAUUGAAUGAAUUAUAAAGGAGGCAUUUUCAAUCAGUAGCAAAUUGAUGGAAUAUUUAAGAAAUAAUGUUGGAACAUGUAUCUACUCAUUCUGAAGAAAAAGUUAAAUCUCUACAUUGUACUCCGAAAUAAGUUCUUAAUGUAUUAAAUACCUAAAUGUUAAAAAAUAAAGUAUGAAAGCGCUAAAAUAAUAUAUAGAAUUGUUUUAAUCUAGGUAUCAACAGAACAUGAAACCCAGAAGCCACAGAGAAAAACACUGAUAGAUUUGACACAUACAAAUUUAUAACUUCUUUAUGAUGAAAAAUAUAAAUAAAGUUAAAAGUUAGGUUAUGGAUUUGGAGAAAAUAAUUACAAUACAUAAAAGAAUCAAGAAGUUAAUCCAUAUACUAUACAAAGAACUCCCAAAAUUAGUAAAAAUACCAACUCAACAAAAAGUAGAUAGAAUAUAUUAACAUAUAGAUGAGUCAGAAAAGGAAAUACAGAUGGCCAGUAAUAAAUGUUUAAUCUCAUAUAUAAAGUAAGAAAUACAAAUAACAUUGAACUUUCAGUGUAAGGCUAGACUGAGCACCCAUAUGUACCUCUCUUUCAAGGUCUUACUUUAUUUUUCUAAUUUCACUGUUACAUACCCUUAUGUGUAUCACCUCAUUAUUACCAUCACUCUACAAAUAAGGAAACUGGGACAUAAAGUAGUUAAAUCAUUUGGCCAAAGUCAAACAGGUAAUAAAAGCGGCAGAGCUGGGGUGUGCACUCAGCAUUUGGACUGCAGGAUCUACCCUCUAACCCACCAUACUAUGCUACCUCUAAAUGAAUUAAAGCAGGUCUGGGAGUGGCCAAGACACUUUCAGAGAAGAUCUACGAAGUUAAAACUUUUCGUAAUAAUAGCAAAACAUAAUUUGGCUUUUCCACUCCUUCAUGAGUGUGGCAGUGUCAUUUUCCAGAGGCUUCAUGACAUGUAAUGUUGCAAAAGAUUAAAUGCAGAAGCAGAUACGAGAAUUCAGCUGAUUUCCAUUAAGUCUCAUCUUAAAAGAGAUUUACAAAAAAGUAAACAAAGCCACUCUUGUUCGGAAAUAUGUAACUUUUCAUGAAAAUAUUUAUAACGUAAUUAGUUUAUUUUAAAUGAAUUUAUAGUUUUAAAUUUCUCACUUUUAAUUUCUAAUUGGUAAAUAUAAAUAGAUAAAACCCACAUAAACAAAAGCUCUUUGUAUUCCUCAAUAAUUUUUAAGGAUGCAAAGGGAUCUUGAGGCCACAAAGUUUGAGAACUACUGAAUUAAACAAUUACCUCCAGUCAACUGACAGCUGAGCCAGUUAGGCCUCUAUCCCCCUUCACUCACAAAUACAGAGGGAACCCUCUGGGAAUCUGUGGCUUUUCCCCCAGGAAUAAAAUCUCAAGAGGUCUUAUGUAGGCUACAGCAAAGUAUGGUAAGGAAAAACAUUUGAGAUGGUACCAUGUCACUAUCAGCUGUUCUCUACUUCCUGGGCACAAACUUUUGCACAAGUGCAAACUGUCUAUUGAAUAGCACCUCUGUUCACUAAAUGGCCCCACUGUGGCAUGCUAGCAGAUGCUCUCUGUUAGGGAAAGGGACGUGCUUAUCUAGUAUCAACAGUAAGAAAUCUCCUAGAUGACAAAGGAGUGACUGAUGUUUGUAAUCUGUUGUGCCUGAAAAGGCACCUGAUUCUGGUUUUCCAUUUACAAUACUGCAGUGGCUCACUUCUGUAAUCCCAGCACUUUGGGAGGCCGAGGCAGGCAGAUUGCCUGAGGUCAGGAGUUCAAGACCAGCCUUCCCAACAUGGUGAAACCCUGUCUCUACUAAAAAUACAAACAAUUAGCCGGGCGUGGUGCCGGGCGCCUGUAAUCCCAGCUACUUGGGAGGCUGGGGCAGGACAAUUGCUUGAACCCGGGAGGCAGAGGUUGCAGUGAGCCAAGAUCGAGCCACUACACUCCAGACUGGGCGACAAGAGUGAAACUCCGUCUCAAAAUAAAUAAAUAAAUAAAUAAAAAGUUUCCUUUUAAAAUAAAUUUAGUGGCCAGGCGUGGUGGCUCAUGUCUGUAAUCCCAGCACUUUGGGAGGCCGAGGCAGGAGGAUCACCUGAGGUCAGGAGUUCGAGACCAGUCUAGCCAACGUGGCGAAACCCCGUCUCUAUUAAAAAUACAAAAAUUAGCCAGGCAUGGUGGUUUGCGCCUGUAAUCUCAGCUACUCAGGAGGCUGAGGCAUGAGAAUCACUUGAACCCAGGAGGCGGAGGUUGCAGUGAGCCGAGAUCGUGUCACUGCACUCCAGCCUAGGUGACACACUGAGACUCCAUCUCAAAAAUAAAAUAAUAAAUUUAAUUUUCAAAAUUGAGUUGAUUUAAAGAAAAGUGUUAAGAAAAUGUUACAUAUGUAAAGAUGGCAAAAAUUGUUAAGUGAAGGAAGUUUGAGAAACAUUGCUAGAAAGCAAAUCAUUAGUCUGUCUCGGGUGGGUCUUUGAUGUAGUAGUUAGGGGUCUGAGAAAAAUGGGGCAGACACGAGGUAACUCCAGACCCCCACGCUAAGGGAGAUAAGAAGCAAAGUGAAAGGGCAACUCUGCCUGAGAGUGAAAGAUUGAAACUCUGCACCCUGGCAUUCUCUGGUCUGUACUUGUUCCUUCCCCAGUAAAUCUGCUUACUGGUAUGUUUCACUCACACAAAGCUUGUGUUCACCCCUCUGUGUCUUCUACUGCUACUCAGUCUUCAUUGGAGACCUAAUUUUCCCUUAAAACUCUUUAUGAUUGGCCAGGCGCGGUGGCUCACGCCUGUAAUCCCAGCACUUUGGGACACCGAGGCGGGUGGAUCACGAGGUCAGGGGUUCGAGACCAGCCUAACCAACAUGGUGAAAUCCCUUCUCUACUAAAAAUACAAAAAUUAGCUGAGCAUGGUGGCAGGCGCCUUAAUCCCAGCAACUCAGGAGGCUGAGGCAUGAGAAUUGCUUGAACCUGGGAGGUGGAGUUUGCAGUGAGUCGAGAUCGUGCCACUGCACUCCAGCCUGGGCGACAGAGCGAAACUCCGUCUCAAACGAAACAAAACAAAAAAACACUUUAUGAUUGGCCAGGCGCGGUGGCUCAUGCCUGUAAUCCCAGCACUUUGGGAGGCUGAGGCAGGCGGAUCACGAGGUCAUGAGAUCAAGACCAUCCUGGCUAACACGGUGAAACCCCA
rnacentral:lncRNA from 1 species